UACAGAGGCCCCAAGCGUUACUGAGAAUCACUGGGUUUAAAGGGUGCGUAGGUGGCGCGUUAAGUCCGUUGUGAAAUCCCUUGGCUCAACCAAGGAACUGCUUCGGAUACUGGCGUGCUUGAGGCUAGUAGAGGUCACUGGAACUGACGGUGGAGCGGUGAAAUGCGUAGAUAUCGUCAGGAACGCCAAUGGUGAAGACAGGUGACUGGGCUAGUUCUGACACUGAGGCACGAAAGCGUGGGGAGCGAACGGGGAAUUAGAUGACCCAGUAGUACCCCAGUACCAA
rnacentral:rRNA from 1 species